rnacentral:tRNA from 1 species
GAGCAAUGUAGUUUAACAAUUAAAAACACAACACUGAAAAUGUUAUAAUGGCCCAAAGCCCUUGCC